rnacentral:rRNA from 1 species
AGUAAUGCGUGACCAACCUGCCCCAUGCUCCAGAAUAGCUCUUGGAAACGGGUGGUAAUGCUGGAUGCUCCAACUUGACGCAUGUCUUGUUGGGAAAGUGUUUAGUGGCAUGGGAUGGGGUCGCGUCCUAUCAGCUUGUAGGCGGGGUAAUGGCCCACCUAGGCUUCGACGGGUAGCCGGCCUGAGAGGGCGGACGGCCACAUUGGGACUGAGAUACUGCCCAGACUCCUACGGGAGGCAGCAGAC